rnacentral:rRNA from 1 species
UACGUAGGGUGCAAGCGUUGUCCGGAAUUAUUGGGCGUAAAGAGCUCGUAGGCGGUCUGUCGCGUCUGCUGUGAAAACUCAGGGCUUAACCCCGGGCGUGCAGUGGAUACGGGCAGGCUGGAGGCAGGCAGGGGAGAACGGAAUUCCCGGUGUAGCGGUGAAAUGCGCAGAUAUCAGGAGGAACACCGGUGGCGAAGGCGGGUCUCUGGGCAGUAACUGACGCUGAGGAGCGAAAGCGUGGGGAGCGAACAGG